rnacentral:lncRNA from 1 species
UCUUCUACAAUGUGGGCUCCAUUCAUUGUAGAAUUUCCCUUUGACCUUCUUUUGGCAGCUUUAUUGUCCUCUUCAAUACGAAGUCGGACGAUAAGAUCUUCAACGGUCAUCUCCUUGCGUUUAUGCUUUAAGUAGUUUUUGAAGUCUUUCCACAAAGGUGCUAGCUUCUCAACUAUCGCUGCUACUUAGAAAGCAUCAUUCACAAUUAAA